AGCGAACGCUGGCGGCAUGCCUAACACAUGCAAGUCGAACGAGACCUUCGGGUCUAGUGGCGCACGGGUGCGUAACGCGUGGGAACCUGCCCUUAGGUUCGGAAUAACUCCCCGAAAGGGGUGCUAAUACCGGAUAAUGUCUUCGGACCAAAGAUUUAUCGCCUUUGGAUGGGCCCGCGUUGGAUUAGCUAGUUGGUAGGGUAAAAGCCUACCAAGGCGACGAUCCAUAGCUGGUCUGAGAGGAUGAUCAGCCACACUGGGACUGAGACACGGCCCAGACUCCUACGGGAGGGAGCAGUGGGGAAUAUUGGACAAUGGGCGAAAGCCUGAUCCAGCAAUGCCGCGUGAGUGAUGAAGGCCUUAGGGUUGUAAAGCUCUUUUACCCGGGAUGAUAAUGACAGUACCGGGAGAAUAAGCUCCGGCUAACUCCGUG
rnacentral:rRNA from 1 species